GGCGUGUAGAUAUUUCUGGCGCAGUCACCGGCUGCUCUGUGCCGUUGUGCGUUGUGUGCUGUUAAUUGUAUUUACAUUUUAAUUUAUAAAAAGAUAUAUAGGUAUUAGGAAGUGGGUGAUAUCACAGGUCAAAAGCAACAAAUAAAAAUGGCUGAAUCUUUUGGAGCAGUGGUGAAGAAACUUUGCUCAGAAUAUGGAAAGACAACGCCAAAGAAGCUUAUGAUCAUCGAUGCUUACCUCGUGCAGAUUUUCUUGACAGGAGUGAUUCAGUUUGUUUAUUGUUGCCUAGUCGGCACAUUCCCAUUUAACUCAUUCCUCAGUGGUUUCAUCUCAUGCGUUGGAUCUUUCGUUCUGGGAGUGUGCCUCAGGCUGCAGGUGAACCCUCAGAAUAAGAGCGAGUUCAGCGGCAUCAGUCCCGAGCGAGGCUUUGCCGACUUCAUCUUCGCCCACGUCAUUCUGCACCUGGUUGUCAUGAACUUCAUCGGAUAGAGGACGACGGAGCGAGGACAGCGGCCACCACUGCCGCCCGUGGCGUCCGGGGGACAUCGUCCGGUAACUGCCGGAUAUAUCCAGUGAUCACCGCGAGGGGCCGAUGGGAUUGGGGAUUUGUGGGCACCGAGUGCUGUGGAUUCGCCUAUAGGGGUGAUCAGACAGGUUCCAAGUCUGAUUUUGUGCACGCAGCACAGUCACACGCGAAUUGUUUGAUGAAGUGUUCCGUGACGUCUUGCGUGAAACGAUGUGGUGACGAUGGGCCAAAGUUUCGUUGAAAUAUAAACUUAAUGGUGGAACACAAA